GUGGGGAAUCUUGGACAAUGGGCGCAAGCCUGAUCCAGCCAUGCCGCGUGAGUGAUGAAGGCCUUAGGGUUGUAAAGCUCUUUCGUGGGGGAAGAUAAUGACUGUACCCCAAGAAGAAGCCCCGGCUAACUCCGUGCCAGCAGCCGCGGUAAUACGAAGGGGGCUAGCGUUGCUCGGAAUUACUGGGCGUAAAGGGCGCGUAGGCGGACAGUUUAGUCAGAGGUGAAAGCCCAGGGCUCAACCUUGGAAUUGCCUUUGAUACUGGCUGUCUUGAGUACGGGAGAGGUGAGUGGAACUCCGAGUGUAGAGGUGAAAUUCGUAGAUAUUCGGAAGAACACCAGUGGCGAAGGCGACUCACUGGCCCGUUACUGACGCUGAGGCGCGAAAGCGUGGGGAGCAAACAGGAUUAGAUACCCGAGUAGUCC
rnacentral:rRNA from 1 species